UACGUAGGGGGCGAGCGUUGUCCGGAUUUAUUGGGCGUAAAGAGCUCGUAGGCGGUUUGGCAAGUCGGGUGUGAAAACUCCGGGCUCAACUCGGAGACGCCACUCGAUACUGCCAUGACUCGGGUCCGGUAGGGGAGUGCGGAAUUCCUGGUGUAGCGGUGAAAUGCGCAGAUAUCAGGAGGAACACCGGUGGCGAAGGCGGCACUCUGGGCCGGUACUGACGCUGAGGAGCGAAAGCGUGGGGAGCGAACAGG
rnacentral:rRNA from 1 species